rnacentral:tRNA from 1 species
GGUGGCGUGGCCGGCGGGCGGGGCUGAACCGGGAUCCGGUGCGGGGCCGUGACCUUCCGGCCCCACGCCCGGAUCUUCUCCGGGGCGUUGCCG